rnacentral:sRNA from 1 species
AAGUAAUUGGAGAAGAAAGCGAAAGUCUCUUCCCAUUCGAGAUACGUCGCGGCAGGGAAAUACGAGAAGGCCUUGAGGCUACCGUCGGAUCCAAGUCUCAGAUACGAUAUCGUUCCAUUGUAGUUGAUUUUGUUUAAGUUUAAAGUUCCUCCUCCGCUUCCGAUUGGUCUAACUUGGAGUAACCGGCGGUUAUUACCCGGGUUCGUAGCGGGUUGUGGUGCGGGUUCUAAGAGAAGCUCGUAAGCUGACGGCUCCGUUAAAUUAUCGAACUCUCUUGUAACGGCGAACGUGACGGUACCGCGGAAGUCGUGAUCCGUCCAUCCCCCGUAAACUAACGGCGUACCGGUUUUGUUAACGUACAUGGUUAAGCCUUUGUUGUCCAACACCAUGCUGUACGGACCAUCGGAGCCGUUCAUAUCAGAUGUACGGCUAACGAGUUUGUUAACUCCGUUAACUUUUAGGGAUUGGCCGACGAGGAGUGUAUCGGUGGGAUGAUCGAAACUCUGCCAAACGAAUUUUCCAUGUUUGUCGUGUAGCACCAUGUUUCCAUUGGGCAAGAUUUGGAAUCCGGUGACGCCUUUGUUGGCUGUGUUAGUCUGC